rnacentral:sRNA from 1 species
CAUACUAUGGAAUUAUGAAAGAUAAUACUACUAUUGAAAAAAUGAUUAGUGAAAAAGAUGAAAGCAUUGAGAAGAACGUUAAAUUACCUUCAGAUUCAGAUGUUAAAGUUAAAAAAGGUGAUUUUGUAAUUGUUUAUAAAUUAGCAGAUUCAGAUAAAAUUGUUAAAGUUAAAAAAGUUGACCAUGAUGACGUCCCUCACGGUUUAAUGAUGAAAAUUCAUGACA